AGUGAACGCUGGCGGUAGGCCUAACACAUGCAUGUCGAACGGCAGCGCAGUAAGAGCUUGCUCUUACGGGUGGCGAGUGGCGGACGGGUGAGGAAUACAUCGGAAUCUACUUUUUCGUGGGGGAUAACGUAGGGAAACUUACGCUAAUACCGCAUACGACCUACGGGUGAAAGCAGGGGAUCUUCGGACCUUGCGCGAUUGAAUGAGCCGAUGUCGGAUUAGCUAGUUGGCGGGGUAAAGGCCCACCAAGGCGACGAUCCGUAGCUGGUCUGAGAGGAUGAUCAGCCACACUGGAACUGAGACACGGUCCAGACUCCUACGGGAGGCAGCAGUGGGGAAUAUUGGACAAUGGGCGCAAGCCUGAUCCAGCCAUACCGCGUGGGUGAAGAAGGCCUUCGGGUUGUAAAGCCCUUUUGUUGGGAAAGAAAAGCAGCAGGUUAAUACCCCGCUGUUCUGACGGUACCCAAAGAAUAAGCACCGGCUAACUUCGUG
rnacentral:rRNA from 1 species